rnacentral:misc_RNA from 1 species
GAAAAGGAUAUUGAAGAGCAUAAGGAACAUUGAGUCAAGGCCAAGAGGCAACUCAUCCGAGAGCAAAGUAGGGACGGCGAUACGUAACGCCUACAAUUCCUGGGAACUCUCACGCAUGAACUGUGGCGAAGCGUGACUCUCUGCCCAGGAGCUUGCAGGGACGACGAUACAUAACGCCUGCAAGUGCUCUGAUAGGUAGACAGACAGACAGAGCAGC